UUUUCUUUGUUAUUUAUUUUAUUUAUUUUUUAAAAAAAAUAUAUUUUAUUUUGUUAUCUAUUUAUUUUUCUAUUAUGAUAACUAGCGUCCAAACGGGCACUCCGUGCCCAUUUGUCCGCUUUUUUUUUAUGGCGCUAACGGGUGAAAAUAUUAGCAGCGUCUUUUUUUUAUAAAUUUGAUUUUAAUAUAAACUAAUUAUAUGAUGAAACAUAUGAUAUUUAUUCAUAUACAAAUUAAAUUUUGUUUGCAAUAUGUA
rnacentral:lncRNA from 1 species